rnacentral:rRNA from 1 species
AUACGAAGGGAGCGAGCGUUGUUCGGAUUUACUGGGCGUAAAGGGCGCGUAGGCGGGUCGAUAAGUCGAACGUGAAAACUGUUGGCUCAACCAGCAGAUUGCGUUCGAAACUGUCGAUCUUGAGUCCAGGAGAGGAGAGCGGAAUCGACAGUGUAGCGGUGAAAUGCGUAGAUAUUGUCGAGAACACCGGUGGCGAAGGCGGCUCUCUGGCCUGGUACUGACGCUAAGGCGCGAAAGCUAGGGGAGCGAACGGGAUUAGAUACCCCAGAAGUCC